rnacentral:rRNA from 1 species
UACGAAGGGGGCUAGCGUUGCUCGGAAUGACUGGGCGUAAAGGGCGCGUAGGCGGCUUGUAUAGUCGGAUGUGAAAUUCCUGGGCUUAACCUGGGGGCUGCAUACGAGACGUAUGGGCUUGAGUGCGGAAGAGGGUCGUGGAAUUCCCAGUGUAGAGGUGAAAUUCGUAGAUAUUCGCAAGAACACCAGUGGCGAAGGCGGCUCACUGGCCCGGUACUGACGCUGAGGUGCGAAAGCGUGGGGAGCAAACAGG